AAGAAUUUUGAUUAUAGAUUAAAUAAAAGACAUAAUAUUUUUUACAUUUUAAGAAAUUAAAUUAAUGAAUUAAGUAAUUAAUUUUAUACAACUUUWAAAGGUAUAGAAAUAAUUAAAUAUUAAAUAAAUAUGUGCCAGCAUUUGCGGUUAAACAUAAGAUAAAAUUUUAWUAAAAUAAUAGAAAUUUAYAAAGUUUUAUUAAUAAUUUUUUAUAAGUAAAAUUAUAAAUYUUUGAAAAAUAAGAAUUUUAAAAUCUUUAAAAAUGUAUAAGUAAACCAGGAUUAGAUACCCUGUUAUAUAAAGUUAAAAAUUAAGUAGUAUAAAGGAAACUUAAAAAAUUUGGCGGUAAAUUAAAAAAUUAGAGGAACCUGUUCUGUAAUUGAUAACCCACAGAGAUUUUACCUUUAUUUAAAUUAUUUAUAUACCGUUGUUAAAAAGUUGAUAAAAAAUUUAAUUUAAAAUUUUAAAAAUUAAAGUAGAUCAAAUCAAGGUGUAGUUUUAUAAAGGGAGAAAUGGGUUACUAGUAUUAUAAUAAUGGAUGGAAGUAUGAAAUAUACUAAUGAAAGAGGAUUUAGAAGUAAAUAUGGAACUAAAAAUGUUUGAAAUUUUAAAAAAUUUAUGCACACAUCGCCCGUCAUUCUCGUUUUUAAAAAUGAGACAAGUCGUAACAAAGUAGAUUUGCUGGAAGGGGAAUCUUGAUAAUU
rnacentral:rRNA from 1 species